AUAACAUUGUACUUCGUCGCGCUCUGCAAUGGCAGGGUGAGGAAAGUCCGGGCAACAUAGAGCAGCGUACCACCUAACGGGUGGGUCUUGCAGCAGUGCAGGAACAGAGAGUGUCGCAGAAACUAUACCGCCUUGCAAAAGCAAGGUAAGGGUGAAAAUGUGCGGUAAGAGCGCACACGGCGUGCCGGUAACGGUGCACCGGGAUAAACCUUACGCGUUGAAAUGCCAAGUAUAUCCGGUGUCUACGGCAUAUGCCAUAGAGUGGUGUGGCUCGCACCUUGUCGGAGGGGUGGGCAGUAAAGAGCCGUCCGGUGACGGCCGGCCAAGAUAAAUGACGAAGCUACGUACAGAAUCCGGCUUAUUGCAAUGUUAUCAUU
rfam:Bacteroidetes bacterium OLB8 TZ08_BCD00100CONTIG0000058, whole genome shotgun sequence.